rnacentral:tRNA from 1 species
AUAAGUUUAGUUAAUCCAUAACAUUAAAUUGUCAAUUUAAAAUUAUUUCUUAAAAUAACUUUUA